rnacentral:lncRNA from 1 species
UCAUCUCCAUAGAAAUACAGAAUGCAUAGAAAAUACAAGGGUAAGAAGAGGAAUCAUGUGGAAGAAGAGUAAACAUCUGAUGGUGUCCUGGGUAGCUGAAACUGUGGAAAGCAAAACCGUGGAUAAGGGGGAACUACUAUACUGAAAAUGUACAAAACAGAGAAGAUUUCAUUGAAGAAGUCUGCUGUUUCUGGAAUGGGAAAUUGAGAUAAAAAUUGAAGCUCUCAUCUUCUAUAACAUCAUUGGUACUUUUGAAGCACAACUGGAACAGUUAUUGACUGUGAUUCUUGCUGGGACCAAUAACCUUCUACAAAUACCAACAUCAGUUUCCAUGAAAGGCAAAGAGCUGACAGGUAUACAGACUGCACCCUAACAUUAAGCUACCAGGAGAAACUUCCAAGUUACCCUCUUGUUACUUGUGCCCCAGAGGUGAACACUGUAAACUGCUACAGCAUGCAAUUUAGGGAGAGGUUCGUGAAGAAGUGAUUGGGAAAGAGAGCAAGUCUUGGUUGGACAGUGUGAUUCAAUAGAAAUGUGAGGAGGAAAAUUGCAAUUAUUUCUGAACCUUCCCAUCAGCCUUGUCUCUGAUAGAAUUGGCCUGUUGUGGACGGGCUUUGUGUAGAUUAGAGAAAGAAGAAGAUGCUCUUUUGGUGUAAUUGUUCAGUUCCACAUGGCCGGGGAGGCCUCACGAUCAUGGCAGAAGGCAAGGAGGAGCAAGUCACAUCUUAUGUAGAUGGCAGCAGGCAAAGAGAGAGCGAGCUUGUGCAAGGAGACUCCCUUUUUUAAAACCAUCAGAUCUCGUGAGACUUAUUCACUAUCAGGAGAACAGCAAGCUAAAUCAGUGUGAGACCAAGGACCCUGGGGCUCCUCCAGUCAUUGCAGCUGUAUCACAACUACCCUGACAGGGAAAAAAGAUGUCAAACUAUAUCAUGCCUUCAGUUGUAGGAUUUGAAUAUUCCUUUUAGAAUCAAUUAUGUAGAGUAUAUGCCAUUGCCAGAUGUCAAUGCAUUUAUAGUGAUGAUGUUACAGCUGGGAUGAGGAUGGGCCCAGAAUAGAGUCAGAAAAAUCUUUCUAGGCCAAGUGACCUUUGAAUGUGGAAAGAUUUCUUGCUCAGGGCAAGCCACCUGCCAUGUCUUGAGAACACUCAAGCAGCACAUGGCGAGGAAUGGAGAUGGACAGACAUGGGCCAGCAAGAAACAGGCUUGCCAGCAACAGCUUGCGUGAUCCUGAAAGCCCCGUUGACUGGAGGAUGGCCAUUUGACAACACAUUAUUUCCUGAGGAAACUUUUGACUUCUGGUGACUUGGGCCCCAGAUAUGAGGUCUCACUGUGUUGCCCAGGCUUGCCUCAAACUCCUGGACUCAAGCAAUCCUUCUACCUUGGCCUCCCAAAGUGCUGUGACUAUAGGUGUGAGCCACUUCACCCAGCCUUCCCUUUUUAUCUCGAAUAAUAUUCCUUGCCUUA